rnacentral:lncRNA from 1 species
CCGCCCAGUGCAGAAAGCAAUCCUGCUUUUGGCUGCUUUGGUAUCGGGAUGUAGUAGAACUUUCGGUAUUUCCAACGCAUGUCUGCCUGCACACUGCCAUGCUCCCCGUCAUGAUGAUAAUGGACUGGACUUCUGAAACGGACUGUGGAACUGUGGAUUGAACCUAGAGCUUUGCACACGUUACCAAACUAACCACUCAGGGAGUCUGUCCUCUUUAACCUUGUAUGGAAGGAGUGUUUUCCCAAGCGGCUGGAUUUCAGAAGUGAGGAGCUGGCUCUGACUGGUUUGCAGAAGUGUGUUCUCUGAGGCAAGCCUUCCUUGGUGGAUUAAGAAUUGUUACGGACAUUUCCAAACAUCCAAAACAGUUGAAGGACGGUCAAGUCCAGACUCCGGACCGUGAGAUGGUGCUACCCAGAUCCAGGGUGUAUCUCUGUGGGGAUGCUCUCGCAUGCACAUACCUCCUCAUUGAUUGAAACCUCAGUCCAGGUGGCCUUGAAGAUUAAUCAUCACAGUAGCAGCCAACCCACUGCCCUGAGCUUUACAGGAUCUUCCACGUCCUCAGAUGCCAGCCUGAAAAUUAUACCCAACAUAUCCACACCUCCCUCACUACCUCAUUCUCCUACUUUGGUGUAGAUUUAUUUCAAAGGUUAUUGUCUAAUCAACUAAAAUGCGUCUAAAUACAUUUUCCCCCUAUAGUUCUAAUUUCAGAGUCACCAACGUGCUCUCUUGAAUUUAAUUGUUUAAAAAGGCUGCAGCUGUGGGGUGACAGACAUUUUUAAGAAUUAAGUGGCUGUCCAGUUCAGGUUUUAACUUUUUCUACUUAGUGUUAGAAGCAAUUCCUGUGUCUUUUGAAAAUCCUGCUCGUUUGAAGUAGGUUUUACAAGCAAUCGAUGCCCCUUGGUCUAGCUGUGGGUCCGGAGGCUUUGUUGGAAUUGUUAUGGUGGCCUUAUGUCCUUUGCCAUAUGCAGGACCAGGACAUGGAGGAGUGUGUGUUGCAGUUAUUUGAAGCUUCAAUCAAAUUAUACACCAGGAGUUCCUGCCAUUUUUGUUGCUGAGUGAUGUCCUAUGCUAUUGAUGUGCCAUUUAUUGACAAACUAUUUAUCCUGUGGCGUACAACUGGUUAUUUUCAGAUUUGGAUUAUUAUGAAU